AUGGAUAAUGCCAGUUAUGCAUAUAAUGAACACAAAUUUAAUAAAGCAAUGGAUGAUCUCAAAGCUGAGAGUGUGGAAGCUUGGCAGUGGCUUAGUGCAAUACCCAAGAAAACAUGGGCUAGGCAUGCAUUUGACACAAAUAGCAAGACUGACUUGGUUGUCAACAAUUUGUCAGAGGUGUUUAACAAGUACAUCCUAGAUCAUAGGAAAAAACCAAUAAGAACUAUGUGUGAUGGCAUAAAGGAUAAGCAGAUGGUUAGGUGGCACAGGAAUAGAGAGAGUGGAAGGGAAGCUAGAUGGGAGAUCACACCACAUUACAGUGAGAAGUUGGAGAUUGAAAAGGAAAGGGCCAGGUACUGCAAACCCAUUCAAGCAGGUGUUAACUUGUGGCAAGUAACUAGUGGUGAGCAAACACAUGCUGUCAAUUUGGAAGUUGAAACCUGUGGUUGCAGAAAGUGGGACCUCAGUGGCAUCCCAUGUAACCAUGCCAUCUCAGCAAUCAACAAGGCAAAAAGGUUUCCAGAGGACUUUGUAAGCAAAUUCUUCAAGAAACCAUAUUAUUCGGCAGCAUAUGAACCAAUGAUAUAUCCUGUCCCUGGUGAGCAUGACUGGACAAAGACCCCAGGUCCAGACAUAGAACCACCAGCAUUUAAAGUGAAGAAAGGAAGAAGGAAAGAGAAGAGAAUAAAGGGAAAAUUUGAAGUUCCAAAGCCAAAGUCCACCUCAAGAAUGGGGACAAUAACUUGUAGCAAUUGUGGAUUACAAGGGCAUAAAUACACAAACUGCCUUAAACAGUUGAAACCUGAGUUGGCCUUAAGAAAGAACAAACAUGUGGUAAGCCCCUUUGUACCAGUUCUUCAUUUUGAUGUUUCUGUAAAUUACCUUUCUUAUUUGUAG
rnacentral:rRNA from 1 species